rnacentral:rRNA from 1 species
UACGGGGGGGGCAAGCGUUGUUCGGAAUUACUGGGCGUAAAGGGCGCGUAGGCGGUUCGCUAAGUUGAAUGUGAAAACUCUGGGCUUAACCCAGAGCCUGCAUUCAAUACUGGCGGGCUAGAGUUCUGGAGGGGAUAGCGGAAUUCCUGGUGUAGCGGUGAAAUGCGUAGAUAUCAGGAGGAACACCGGUGGCGAAGGCGGCUAUCUGGACAGAGUCUGACGCUGAGGCGCGAAAGCGUGGGGAGCAAACAGG